GUUCCUUUCCUUGGUAAUCCGAGCACAGAAUUAGGUUUCAAAAGUUACUGCUGACUUUUAGGUGUUUUCGUCCUUGUUCUGCUAUUUUAAGCUAUAAAUCAAUGUUCCUGUCAGGCUAGGUGAAGCUAAACUCCAAAAUGCUUCAGAGCAAACAAUGUUCUUUCUGUGCAGUGUUUGAACACAGCCGGUCCUACCAGCAGACACGGGGACAUACAGAAAGAGCAAUUAAGUCAGUAAGGCUUGCGUGGGCUCAAGGAUCUGUCUCUGUACCUUCUCAUACCAGUGCUGUCGUGGUUGGAGCUACAGGGACAGUUACAAGUUGUAGGCCUGAAGAGUUAAGAAUAACAGAUUUUGUAUAGGGUUAGAAAUCUUAGCCAAACCUCUGAAUUUUUAUUUUUUUUGUUAUUGUUCUCUUUUAGUGUGCUGGAAUUGUGUUUGUGAGUGUGUAUUUAUUGAAUCUGCAGUGGUAGAAGUCAUAUUACUAAUUUCUGUGUUGUACAAUCCCAUCUUGUUCAGAAAGAGGUAUACCUGGAGGCUUGAUAACAUAAUCAAAUUAUGCUAUUGGCAUGCAAAACAUGCUUGGAAUAUCAGCCUCUCAGCAGUCUUGAGUGUACUAAGUUACUUGAACUGUGCACUCUAAGAGUAGUUUCUGUUGUUUGCUAUUGGCUAUAUAGCAGAUACUUCCAUUUCUGGUAUAUGCAUUCUCAGCAGUGCCUCUUUUGCAUACUAUGUAUCAGUAAUAAUGAGCACAGAUAAAAAUCCUUCUGGAUAGCAGCGUGCUGGAGCUGGGAAUUACAAAAAGCAAAUUGGUCCAUGUCAUGAAAUAAUAAUCUCUUAAAUUCUGUUUUGUGGAACUAUGCAGACCUAAUAAACCAUGUAUUUAGUAAUUUGUGGGACUUGUACAUAAGCUAAGUUCUUUGAUUAAAUAUAAUUGCUUUAGGUUUAGGAUCAACUGUACUGACUUCUGCCUGAAAUAUGCAUGGGUGUGCAUAUGUCCUUAAGAAAAAAAGUGAUAUCCAAUCACUAUAAAAGGCUGACUUGGUGACUCAAAUAGGUACAGUUACUACAGGCAAAAUAAAAUAUAGAGCAGAUGAAAAUUUUUAGUGGCCUUCUGAAACUUUGCUUACCUACAGGGCCAAAAUAUGUGUUGGUAUUUAGAGUUUGUUUUACUAUUUGGGUUAUAAUGGUAACAUUUCUGCCCAUACAAAAAUCAAAUUUUAUUGUCUGCACUAUGUGACUGUACUGCAGGCCCAUCACUGAAAUUUCCUGCAUGCUGUUGCUGUGGCUGCCUAAUUUGUGAAGCCACAUCCAGCAAAAUUCCAUGCAAUUAACAGCAAUACAUGUAACACUUGUAAGGUGUUUUUUUUUUCUUCUUCUUAUGUACUGCCUUUACAGUAUUUUCUCUUUCCUUUGCAGUAUUCACAACUGUCGCAUUGAUGUCACAUGAAUAACAGCUUUGAGGCAGUUACUGUGUCAACUGCUCUGAACCCAAAACAUUUUGUUAACUGCACUGCAUUCUGAAGUGGUUUAUUGUGGAGUAUCACCACAGUCGUAACAACAAAAUUGAAGAAUUUUCUAAGAAUGUGAAACGUGUAGGAAAGACAGAUCUUCAGGCUCACAUCAGAACAGAGCUCAUGGCUGCUGAAAGCACGCUGGGUUCACUUCACUGAAUGGCAGGAACUGAGUUAGGAGAAACAGUUGAAGCUUGAAGUCCAAAAGUGAA